CCGGCUCUGGAAACCGCCGAUUGGCCUCUCGAACUCUUCUUUGUCUUCCACUCUUAUCGGUCCCGAUUUCGGGCUCGAGUAGGUAGUCAACGAUUUUGAAGCGGAAGAAGUUUGCGAGGUUGGAUAUACCGGUGGUGGCGCUGAGGUUUGGGGCUCCGGCGACGGCCGAGAGGCAUAUUGUGGCCUAUAGGGGUCUGGCGACGGCCGAGGAAAAUGAGUACUCUGUUUAUUGCGAGAGAGGGAGGAGGGAAGCUAUGGAGGAUUGACCUUCUGCUUCAGUCGGUAUCCAUGGAGAUAACAAGCGAUUGAGUUGCAGCAUGUGGAACUUUUCUUCACGCCACUUGCUAAAAGUUUUAAGUGUUUCAGUGAAGACGACGAUAUACACCGCACAAAAAAGAGGACUUGAUAAAUGGCGGCAGACCAUCAUCUCCUUUUCUAAUCAAUGAAAUAGAACUACUUCAACAAAAUAGCAUCUCAAGCAAGAUCAUCCACGUAGCCUAGAAAGUAGAAAUAAAUAGAAAAUGCAAAGGAUAAAAACAGAGCACCCGUAGCUUCCCUCCUCAAUCUCUUGCAA